GACGAACGCUGGCGGCGUGCUUAACACAUGCAAGUCGAACGGUGAAGCUCCAGCUUGCUGGAGUGGAUCAGUGGCGAACGGGUGAGUAACACGUGAGCAACCUGCCCCUGACUCUGGAAUAAGCGCUGGAAACGGCGUCUAAUACUGGAUACGAGAAGGGCCCGCAUGGGCACUUUCUGGAAAGUUUUUCGGUUGGGGAUGGGCUCGCGGCCUAUCAGCUUGUUGGUGAGGUAAUGGCUCACUAAGGCGACGACGGGUAGCCGGCCUGAGAGGGCGACCGGCCACACUGGGACUGAGACACGGCCCAGACUCCUACGGGAGGCAGCAGUGGGGAAUAUUGCACAAUGGGCGAAAGCCUGAUGCAGCGACGCCGCGUGAGGGAUGACGGCCUUCGGGUUGUAAACCUCUUUCAGCAGGGAAGAAGCGAAAGUGACGGUACCUGCAGAAGAAGCACCGGCUAACUACGUG
rnacentral:rRNA from 1 species